UUAUAGAUAAUUAUACUUUAUUAAUAACAAAUGGAAAUAAAUAUAUAAAUCAUAAGAUAGAAAUUUUACACCAGUCAUCACUGUAUAAUAAAAUUGUGUAACACUCUAUUGCGCAAUAUGUUCUUUGUUAUUUUUUAAAACUCAACAAACAACAAAGAAGAAUAAUGCUAAUAAUUGUUACACAUUGUUUCUUUUUUUCAUGCAUGUUUCUUCGCGUGUAACGAUUCGUUUACAUUUGUACAUGUGCGAGAAGAUAUAACGAUCAACUUUGAAACUUGUUAUUGUUUUUGGAAGUGCCGGAAGUGCUACCGCGCAAAUAAAAAACAUUUCCAAUGAAAGAUACAUAGAGCAUAAUCAUACCGUGAUGAUAUAAAAGGAAUGUCAGCGUAUAGCGGUAUUAGUUCGAGCAAAUAUUGCCAGUAAAAGAUGAAGUUUUUCGGUAAAUUACUCUGUUUCUUUCUCAUAGGCAUCGCGGCGGCGAUGGGCAUGAGCAUCAAAAAAUUUGCACUUGGGAUUGACAACGUAGCUUGUAGAAAUCAAAGUCGUGGAUCCAAUUUUGGAUAGUUGGAAAUCUGUACGAAAUAUACAAAUAUAGGCACAAGUAGUAAAACAACAUUAGGCUGCAGUAUAAAAUGGAUUUAAAAAAUUACAGAUAGCGUGGAAAAAAUUUAUAAGUAUUUUAGAGCUAUAAAAGCACAUCAGUAUGUUGUAUAAAAGAAAUAAAUAAUUAAUAAGAUUGAGUAUUAAACAUUUCGGCAUAACAAUAAAUAACAAAAUAACAUAAAA